GAUGAACGCUGGCGGCGUGCUUAACACAUGCAAGUCGAACGAUGAAGCCCAGCUUGCUGGGUGGAUUAGUGGCGAACGGGUGAGUAACACGUGAGUAACCUGCCCUUGACUCUGGGAUAAGCCUGGGAAACUGGGUCUAAUACUGGAUAUGACUUCUCAUCGCAUGGUGGGGGGUGGAAAGAUUUAUUGGUCUUGGAUGGACUCGCGGCCUAUCAGCUUGUUGGUGAGGUAAUAGCUCACCAAGGCGACGACGGGUAGCCGGCCUGAGAGGGUGACCGGCCACACUGGGACUGAGACACGGCCCAGACUCCUACGGGAGGCAGCAGUGGGGAAUAUUGCACAAUGGGCGCAAGCCUGAUGCAGCGACGCCGCGUGAGGGAUGACGGCCUUCGGGUUGUAAACCUCUUUCAGUAGGGAAGAAGCGAGAGUGACGGUACCUGCAGAAGAAGCGCCGGCUAACUACGUG
rnacentral:rRNA from 1 species